CAGGAAAUAGUUUAUUUUAAAAUUUUAAUUUUGGAGAUUAAAGAAGAGUUUUUCUCUUUCCUGA
rnacentral:tRNA from 1 species